AUACUUACCUGGCGGGGGAUACCAUGAUCGCGAAGGUGGUUCACCCAGGGGAAGGCUUAUCCAUUGCACUCCAGAUGUGCUGACCCCUGCGAUUUCCCCAAAUGUGGGAAACUCGAUUGCAUAAUUUGUGGUAGUCGGAGACUACUUGCGCGCUCUAC
ensembl:snRNA U1 U1 spliceosomal RNA